rnacentral:rRNA from 1 species
GUGAACGCCGGCGGUAGGCCUAACACAUGCAAGUCGAACGGCAGCACCGUAAGAGCUUGCUCUUACGGGUGGCGAGUGGCGGACGGGUGAGGAAUACAUCGGAAUCUACUUUUUCGUGGGGGAUAACGUAGGGAAACUUACGCUAAUACCGCAUACGACCUACGGGUGAAAGCAGGGGAUCUUCGGACCUUGCGCGAUUGAAUGAGCCGAUGUCGGAUUAGCUAGUUGGCGGGGUAAAGGCCCACCAAGGCGACGAUCCGUAGCUGGUCUGAGAGGAUGAUCAGCCACACUGGAACUGAGACACGGUCCAGACUCCUACGGGAGGCAGCAGUGGGGAAUAUUGGACAGUGGGCGCAAGCCUGAUCCAGCCAUACCGCGUGGGUGAAGAAGGCCUUCGGGUUGUAAAGCCCUUUUGUUGGGAAAGAAAAGCAGCAGGUUAAUACCCCGCUGUUCUGACGGUACCCAAAGAAUAAGCACCGGCUAACUUCGUG